rnacentral:tRNA from 1 species
GGUGGCUCAGUGGUAAAGCACUUGCCUUGCAUGCAUGAGGCCUGGGUUCGAUUCCUCAGCACCA